rnacentral:rRNA from 1 species
AUAUCAAUAAGCGGAGGAAAAGAAACCAACAGGGAUUGCCUCAGUAACGGCGAGUGAAGCGGCAACAGCUCAAAUUUAAAAUCUGGCCCUUCCGGGGUCCGAGUUGUAAUUUGCAGAGGAUGCUUCGGCGUCGGCCCCGGGCCAAGUCCCUUGGAACAGGGCGUCCUGGAGGGUGAGAGCCCCGUACGCCCGGGCCGCCUUCGCCGUGUGAAGCUCCUUCGACGAGUCGAGUUGUUUGGGAAUGCAGCUCCAAGCGGGAGGUAAAUUUCUUCUAAAGCUAAAUACCGGCCAGAGACCGAUAGCGCACAAGUAGAGUGAUCGAAAGAUGAAAAGCACUUUGGAAAGAGAGUUAAAAAGCACGUGAAAUUGUUGAAAGGGAAGCUCUUGCCGCCAGACUUGCCGCGGUUGCUCAGCCGUCCCUUCGGGGUCGGUGCACUCUUCCGCCGGCAGGCCAGCGUCAGCUCGGGCGGCCGGAUAAAGGCCCCGGGAAUGUAGCCCCCCUCGGGGGGUGUUAUAGCCCAGGGUGCAAUGCGGUCAGCCCGGGUUGAGGCACGCGUUCGCUAGGACGCUGGCGUAAUGGCUGCAAGCGACCCGUCUUGAAACACGGACCAAGGAGUCUAACAUCUGUGCGAGUGUUUGGGCGUCAAACCCAUACGCGUAAUGAAAGUGAACGGAGGUGGGAACCCUCGAGGGUGCACCAUCGACCGAUCCUGAUGUCUUCGGAUGGAUUUGAGUAAGAGCAUAGCUGUUGGGACCCGAAAGAUGGUGAACUAUGCCUGAAUAGGGUGAAGCCAGAGGAAACUCUGGUGGAGGCUCGCAGCGGUUCUGACGUGCAAAUCGAUCGUCAAAUUUGGGUAUAGGGGCGAAAGACUAAUCGAACCAU